GCUUCUCUAAUUCUUUCAGUUGUGAUGUUAGGUUGUUAAUUUGAGAUAUUUCUAAUUUUUUGAUAUGGGCAUUACUUCUUAUGCCCUACUCUAAAUUUUGUUCUUCUAGAAAACUCAGAACUAUGCUUUCUAAACCAAUUCAAACUUUCUCAGUGAAUCAACCUGGACUCCCUGAGGCCAAGUUAGCAAUUUUCCAUUACACUUGGUUCUCUUUCUCUGUAAGAAUAUCUAAUGCAACAAUUCAAGUGUUUCUUUCCCUCCUGGUAAUGCGGGGAACUCCUUUUGGCUGAGACCAAGACUUAAAACCUUGUUCUUUCAACAUUAAUGAAGAUCUAUUUAGAAAGCCUCCAUUUUUGCAGAAAAGAUAUAUAAACACCAAUGAAAAUCAAUAUGAAAUUAUAUGACAUACAAUUAUAUUGUGGAAAGACUGAAUAAAUAAGUGAACUAAGCUCUAAGAAAAAAAGAUGAUGAUAUAAAAUGAUAUAGAAGUAAAAACCUGGGCUGGUAUAGCAUAAUUAAUGUAUCAGUAAAGUAUGUACAUUGUAGAAGUGGCAGGAAGACAGCAUAGAGAGUGAGACCUGACCAAAAGCUUUAAGGAAAGUUCUAUACCCUUAAACGAGAUUAAAGUGGACUCAGGAAAACAUGGGCCACAUGAGGGGAAGGACACAUGUUCCAGAUGAGCCAAAGCUCAGAGCAUCUCUACCUUCUCCAGGAGGAAAGGGGAGGCAAAGCAGCAGGCAGAAGACAGCACGGCCAGGUCAGCACAGGGCACCCAGGCCAAGCCAGGUGGGCUCCAUCAUACAGGUAGUGAGGAGUCACUGCCAGGUGGGCUUUAUUCAUUAGUUUGUUUUGUUUCUUUUAGUAACGAAGACACAUGAUCAAAGUUGACCUUUGUAAGUGUUGCUGCAGCUGAACAAAAAGAUGGAUAAGACCAGUGUUUUAAAAAUUAUGUUGUAUAGAGCACUAGCCUCAGUGAGAUAUUAGUAGAACACACAGGCACACACACACACACACACACUCACACUAAGCCCAGAUUAUUCUGGCAAAUGCUGGGUUAAGCAAACUAAAAGAAACAUCUUUAGUGCUGGACUUCUCAGAACCUGGAAUGUCGCUAUAUGACUCAUAAAACAGCAAGGUUAAGACAGAACAUGUC
rnacentral:lncRNA from 1 species